rnacentral:rRNA from 1 species
AGGGAAAGAGCUUGCUCUUUCCGGAAUUGAGUGGCAAACGGGUGAGUAACACGUAAACAACCUGCCUUGUACAGGGGGAUAACAGUUGGAAACGGCUGCUAAUACCGCAUAAGCGCACAGCAUCGCAUGAUGCAGUGUGAAAAACUCCGGUGGUAUAAGAUGGACCCGCGUUGGAUUAGCUAGUUGGUGAGGUAACGGCCCACCAAGGCGACGAUCAGUAGCCGGCCUGAGAGGGUGAACGGCCACAUUGGGACUGAGACACGGCCCAAACUCC